UGGUUAAGGUAAGGGUUAAGGUCUGGGAUAAGGUUAUGAAUGGUUAAGGUAAGGGUUAAGGUUUGAGAUAAGGUUAUGAAUGGUUAAGGUCUGGGAUAGGGUUAUGAAUGGUUAAGGUAAGGGUUAAGGUCUGGGAUAAGGUUAUGAAUGGUUAAGGUCUGGGAUAGGGUUAUGAAUGGUUAAGGUAAGGGUUAAGGUCUGGGAUAAGGUUAUGAAUGGUUAAGGUCUGGGAUAGGGUUAUGAAUGGUUAAGGUAAGGGUUAAGGUCUGGGAUAAGGUUAUGAAUGGUUAAGGUCUGGGAUAGGGUUAUGAAUGGUUAAGGUAAGGGUUAAGGUCUGGGAUAAGGUUAUGAAUGGUUAAGGUCUGGGAUAGGGUUAUGAAUGGUUAAGGUAAGGGUUAAGGUCUGGGAUAAGGUUAUGAAUGGUUAAGGUCUGGGAUAGGGUUAUGAAUGGUUAAGGUAAGGGUUAAGGUCUGGGAUAAGGUUAUGAAUGGUUAAGGUCUGGGAUAGGGUUAUGAAUGGUUAAGGUAAGGGUUAAGGUCUGGGAUAAGGUUAUGAAUGGUUAAGGUCUGGGAUAGGGUUAUGAAUGGUUAAGGUAAGGGUUAAGGUCUGGGAUAAGGUUAUGAAUGGUUAAGGUCUGGGAUAGGGUUAUGAAUGGUUAAGGUAAGGGUUAAGGUCUGGGAUAAGGUUAUGAAUGGUUAAGGUCUGGGAUAGGGUUAUGAAUGGUUAAGGUAAGGGUUAAGGUCUGGGAUAAGGUUAUGAAUGGUUAAGGUCUGGGAUAGGGUUAUGAAUGGUUAAGGUAAGGGUUAAGGUCUGGGAUAAGGUUAUGAAUGGUUAAGGUCUGGGAUAGGGUUAUGAAUGGUUAAGGUAAGGGUUAAGGUCUGGGAUAAGGUUAUGAAUGGUUAAGGUCUGGGAUAGGGUUAUGAAUGGUUAAGGUAAGGGUUAAGGUCUGGGAUAAGGUUAUGAAUGGUUAAGGUCUGGGAUAGGGUUAUGAAUGGUUAAGGUAAGGGUUAAGGUCUGGGAUAAGGUUAUGAAUGGUUAAGGUCUGGGAUAGGGUUAUGAAUGGUUAAGGUAAGGGUUAAGGUCUGGGAUAAGGUUAUGAAUGGUUAAGGUCUGGGAUAGGGUUAUGAAUGGUUAAGGUAAGGGUUAAGGUCUGGGAUAAGGUUAUGAAUGGUUAAGGUAAGGGUUAAGGUCUGGGAUAAGGUUAGGAAUGGUUAA